rnacentral:lncRNA from 1 species
UGCUGAAGUCAUCGCGACAAUAAAACUGUUUCUUCACCUCAGAGUCUUGCUCAUAAAAUCCAAGUACCCCAUUUUUCAUCUCCUCAAGAACAUGAACAGGUAUUCCUGUAAGAAAUUUUGAAGAACAAGACAUUGUAUCAAGCUGAACUUAGAGUAUGUAUAUGACCGGUAUGAAUUCAAGCAUUGGAGGUGAGUUAAAGACUGAGCAUAAUCAUAUUAGUCAAGAAAUCAGUUUUAAGACAGUUAUAAAGUUUUAUCUGAUUUUAGUUUUUGAAUUAAAGAGCAGUUAGAAGGAUAUGACAGUUUCUUGAUGGAAGAAACUGUCAUUGUAUAACUGGUCUAUAUAGUCAGAUUUGGUCCCUGCUGAUACACAAUCGUAUUCUCAUAAAAAGUCCCAUUAACUUAGAGAAUAAUAACGGUGGAAUCAGGAGAAGAUCAUCUUGACGACUUCAGUUCUUGUAACAAGAUAAAAAGGGUCAAGUGCGUUAACAAGUAGAUACAAGGUACUCCAAGCGCGCUAACCGAAGAUAAGACGAGCGCCAAGACGAACAUAGAUCAAGAUGGAUCACUCAAGUUAUUCAUGUAAGUUAUAUAAAUUCCAGAUUUCAGUAAGGAUAGAUAAUGUUGUUGCUAUCCCGAAAACACAGGAAGUUCAAGUUCAUGUAUUCAUUAUGAAAUAGAUUUCAUUAAGUAUCGAAUUCAGUUCUUUCAAUUGGUAUCAGAGCAAUCUAUCUUCAUGUGAAUUACAUGUUCUGUGUUUCUUUAGAAUCCUGGGAUCUUACCAAUAAUCCGCAUACAGUUUUUAUCAAGUAAAUUUCAAAAGUUAUCCCGAUGUGCAUAUGUGUGCAUAAUAUAAACUUGAUGUGAUACAAAUGAUCUCAUGUUGAAUCAAUGAAGCGCAUGACAUAUAUUUACCAGUAUCAAUAUAUCUGUUAUUUAUUUUUGAUUAAGUUACUGCAUAUAUACACUUACUGUGUUUUAGAACUACCAAAGUGCAUCAGGAUUUCAGGAAAUAUACUUUUAGAAUGUCUGCUAUAUAUUUCUGUGAUUUAUAUAGUUUGUGUGUUCUUGUAAAAGUUCAUGCAUUCUGCAGAUUUAGGAUUGAUACUCUAUGUGCAAUCCUAAAUGCAGUAGACUGGAUUCAAUAUCAUAAACUGAUAUCAUGACUUGAUCUGAUAUAGAUACAGUAAAUGUUCCCACAGUAGAAGUUUCAUUUAGAAUUAUGUGUUUUUUGGUAAUUAAUCCGCAUAUAGUUAUUUUAUUUUAGGUUUUGAAUGUAAGUAUGUAUAUAAAGUUGAAACCUGAACUGUUAAGGUGUCUAUAAUUCAAGUUUAGUUUUACAUCAUAUGUAUGAAUUGACUACAUUUACAUGCCAUAUAUAUUAAUGACAUGUUUUAAAUGAGAUUGCAUAAGAUGUCUAUAUGUAUGCACUCAAGAACUUAAAACUGAUCUGCUGUAUACAAAUUUUCUUAUUCAUAUGCCACCAAAGUGGGAAAUGGAAAAGAGAUUUUACAGAAAUAAGUAGAUCAUAAGGAUAAUAUUAGACAGAUUAAGUUUCACUUACUACAUGCUACCAAAGUAGCUUAGUACACCAGAAACUAUCUAUUCAUUUAGUCUAAUAUAUAUGUAGAGAUCACAUCAUAAAACUUAAAAUUAAUUGAUAUUAAUUUCCAAAGAAAUGUAUCAAGUAUUUAGUUUGUGAUUGUGCAUAUAACAGAACUUGGAACAUUCAGAUUUCACUAGAUAUGUGUACACCACAAAGGUAGUCAGAGUCUCGAAAGUGUUUGAGUUUUCAUAUUCUUUUAUAUGAUUUGGUAUGAAUGGUUAUUCAAAUCAUGAAUUUUCAUUCGUUUUGGGACAUUCAGAACAUUCUAGCUAGUAUCAUGAUACACUAGAAAUUUUAAACUGAUCAAUUUGAAGUGCAAUUUACCAUGAUCACAUUGAGGAGAAAGAUUCACCAGGAGCAUUGUUUACAGUUGCAAGGAUAGAAAGAAGCAAGAACAAGAGGCCAGCAAUUUUGUGUUAAGGAAAAUAUGGCUGAGAUUCAGUGGGAGACAAUUGAAUGUAUCUGUACCAGUGGUCAUAUGAGAAAAAGUUUCUAGCUACUCCAUCUUAAGGACAGGAAGGAAAUAGAAAAUUUCCAGGAUGAUGAAGUCAGUGAUUUCAAGUAAAUGGUUUAGUAAUAUUGAUAAGCAUCAGGAGCAAAUAAGUUGUUCAAUAAAAUGCUGAGCGAGACUUCUUCUCAUCGCCAAGAAAUGAUGAGUCUGGCUAUUUUGUAAUGAGCAACUAGAGGAUGCAGUUAAAGUUCAGUGUUGCAUUGUGCAAGACAUGUGUUUGAAAACGUGACAGAAUACAGUACAUUUCCUUGGACUUCUAUGUAUGAUCAGUGAAGUUGUGCAGUUUUGGGCUUAAAGAUGAAGUUCUAGUACUGUUUAACCAAGUGAGAACGGCUCAUGGUGUUUUCAGUGAAUUCACUGCUGCAACAGUUCCUAGAGUUUGUUGACGACAUGAUCACAGUCUUCUUUCAAGAUGUCAAGUUAUGAGGAUUUUUGAUAAAAUGCCAUAGAGAAAUCUCUGAGUUGGAAGUCAUUGUUUGGGAACAUGUUUUCAGAAUAGUUUACAGGAAGAAGGCCAGAAAAUUGUGUACUUUUAUGCAAAGGAUAAGAGAUUAUUUCAGAUUGGAUCAGACUGAAACUGCGUUGUUUUAGCAGUAUUGAAGCUUGGGGCUGCCGAUAAUUGCUCAAGCAAAAGGAUAAGGAUUUGGUUCUAAUAGUUCAAUUGUGAAAAGCGUUAUAUUUAAAAGUGAGGUCUGACUAAAGUGGUGAGUAUUUGAAAGACAUAUAAAGCGAGGAUGGCAUAAAGAUCUGACAGGACUUAUUAUAUUUACAAGGAUAUGUGUCAGUGGAGCCAUGAACAAAAUAGACCUUCAGAAGAAUAGAAAAGCAUGUCAGAGGAACAUAAAUCUCUCGAAGAAAACCGGAAAGAAGAUCAGAUCCACAGUCGAAGAAGACGAGGUCACCAUUGAAGUAAUAGGAUGUUAAUUUGAUCAAGUUGAAGCGACUUCAGUCCGAAUCAAGACAAGAAGGGAGUCGACUAUUACAGGUAGUACUAGGUCUACGUGGAUGCUGAUUUGUAUACAUGUAUGAUGCUAAUGUUUUCGUUGGCAAGGUUGGUAGUUUCAGGUAAGAUUGGUGGGCAGAUGUUUAAUGCAUACCAGGUGCUUGAUGAAAGAUCUGACCCAAAUCUAAGUUGUGAGGAUUACCUCAAAUGGAUAUGUAUAAGGAGGUUGAUGUAAUGGAAACAUUGACAGAGUUUUGGUAAUAUGAAGGUGAAGGGUGGCCACAAUGUAGGAUGAUGCGUAAUUGAGGACAUGGAAAUAUGCAUUAAGAAUGAUAAGGUACAGUGCUUCAGACCCUUGUUCUUAUUGCUAUUUUGACAUGUUUUCUUAUGAUUGUGCCAUCCUUGUUUAUCAUUGUAUAUAUACCACAUUGAAGCUAUACAGAUUCUACACAUUUCCCUUGCUUAGAUAAGAGUUCGACAAUUAUUGGUUCUGCUUUAGAGAUCAACAUGCAAGUUUGUAAUUCGUUGAUUGAGAUGCAUUAAAAUGUGAGUGGACAUUGGCUGCGCUAAGCAAGUUUGAUGAGGUAAUAUAAAGAUAUUUGUUUGGCAUGGAACUUGAUAAUUUCAGGAUAUGUAUGAAUAGACUGCUUAGAUUGACGGCCUGACUUUGUAAUUUGGAUGGUUGAGAGCACAGUAUUAUGAUACAGAAUAGGGCUAUCAAGUUUUGGGAAUCACCAAGCAGGUUUGGAGAUUUACAGGGAUACUAGCAUGGUCUUGUCUCCUCCCUGUAUUUUGGGCAUUUAUUAACUGAAGAAAAUUUAUAUGGUUAUGGAUUAAGCCAUUAAGGGAAUUAGAAACUCUAACAUCUGCAAUACCAAAAUUUCUAGUGGGAGAAGAAUUGAAGACUACUGUGAACGGUGUAUGUGAAAUAAUGCAGAUGAAGUGCAGAAUGAAAUAUUAGAGCAGUACAAGGAAUGCCAGAUAUAGUAGCACCAGAAAAUACAGAAAUACAAAGUUGCAGCGCCAACAUUAAGGUCUGGGAGAGAAAGGAAAUUUGGAAUCCCAGAUGACCUCUGUGGGAGACAAAGAAAGUUUCCAAUCCCAGAUAGUCAGCAUUAAGAAGGUCUGGGAGAAAAAGAAAGUCUGCAAUCCAAGAAUGGUAGUACCAGAAAGGUCUGGGAGAGAAGGAAGGUCUACGAUCCUAUAUGUCUACAGAAUAUUAAGGUCUGGGAGUGAAAGUAAGGCUGAAAUCCCAAUGACUUAUGUUUACCACAUCAUUUAAUCACGCAAUACAGUCAGUUAAUAGUGAUAAAUGGAUGGAAAGCAAGGCUAAAAAUGGAGUGUGGACUUCGGUGAAUAAAGUUGAUACAUGCAAACCUAUAGGCUGCAAAUGGGUUUUCAAGACCAAGCCAGAUGCAGAUGGGAAAUUGAAAGAUACAUUGCCAGGUUAGUUGCAUAUUUUGUUUUGGAAUUGUGAUCAGUUUGGGAAUUUGAUUUGUUUAGCUACUGCAUUGGAAUCAUUGUUUUGUUGAAUUGGAUGAACACGAUGCAUAAAAGAUCAAGUUAUAAAUAUUGCAGCAUAAGAAGUGCAGAUUUGGCCUGUUUGACUCUUUGGACAAGUGGGAGUUUGUGAACUCAGUGACACUAAGAGGAUGCAAUAGGGAUACAACUAUAGCAUUAUGAAGAACUCCAUGAGUGUGCCUAGUCACUGAAUGGUUCAGGAAUUGGUUCAUAUAUCUAAAGUUAAGAUGAAGUACUGUUCUGUAUUGAGAAUCGUUAUUUUGAGAAAGUUUUUGAUAUGACACCCCAAUGAGAUAUUGUGCCAUGGGCUACAGUGAUUACAAGGAAUGCAAAAGAUGAGAAAAUAUGAACAAGUUUUAGUAAGGAUCAAGGACAAUCAUGUAUGCCAAAUACAAUAUUAUUAUGGUCAGUAUUGCCUCACAGAUUUAGCAUGCAAAACUGCAAAAGAGGAAGAGGCAUCUACAUCUUAAGGGAGACAAAUUGCAAAAGGUCAGUAUUUAAGCAAAAUAAAGUGAACUAAUAGCAUUUGCUAUAUGCUUUGAUUUUAUUCCCUCAGGAUGGAUUAAACAUUGUAGUUCAUUCAUGUUCAUAUAUUUCAUGUAUUGUUUGCUGCAUAAUCAAGUUGUACAACUAUAGAUGCUGUUAAUGUAAUAGCAAUUUUGCAGUCAAAUGAUUCUCAAGUAUGAAAUAAUUUCAGUCUUCAAUUUUAUAUUGAAAUUUUGUUAGGGCCAUUUAUAUGCUUAUAUUGCAGAUGAUUACUUAAGUUUAAGCAUAUAUGUGUUACUGUGUUUUGGGGUAAUUCAUGUGGUUUUAUUUGCUGCAUUGUGAUCUUGGAAUGAUGGUGAUUUUCUAAUUCACCAAGCCAUCCUUAGGUUCAUUGUAGUUAAAUAUAGCUGACAGAAUUUUGAAACAGAUUAUUAAUGUGAAUUGAAUUCAAGUGCGCACACUACAGCUACUGUGUUAUAUAUGUAUAUGAGUUUUGAACAAUGUCUAGUUCAGUGGGAGAUUGUAAGAAAUUUUGAAGAACAAGACAUUAUAUCAAGCUGAACUUAGAGUAUGUAUAUGACCGGUAUGAAUUCAAGCAUUGGAGGUGAGUUAAAGACUGAGCAUAAUCAUAUUAGUCAAGAAAUCAGUUUUAAGACAGUUAUAAAGUUUUAUCUGAUUUUAGUUUUUGAAUUAAAGAGCAGUUAGAAGGAUAUGACAGUUUCUUGAUGGAAGAAACUGUCAUUGUAUAACUGGUCUAUAUAGUCAGAUUUGGUCCCUGCUGAUACACAAUCGUAUUCUCAUAAAAAGUCCCAUUAACUUAGAGAAUAAAAACGGUGGAAUCAGGAGAAGAUCAUCUUGACGACUUCAGUUCUUGUAACAAGAUAAAAAGGGUCAAGUGCGUCAACAAGUAGAUACAAGGUACUCCAAGCGCGCUAACCGAAGAUAAGAGGAGCGCCAAGAUGAACAUAGAUCAAGAUGGAUCACUCAAGUUAUUCAUGUAAGUUAUAUAAAUUCCAGAUUUCAGUAAGGAUAGAUAAUGUUGUUGCUAUCCCGAAAACACAGGAAGUUCAAGUUCAUGUAUUCAUUAUGAAAUAGAUUUCAUUAAGUAUCGAAUUCAGUUCUUUCAAUUCCAUGGUUGAUUAUCUGAAAGAAGCCCAACUCUUGAUGCUUCUCCAACUCUUGCAACAAUCUCCUUUUGUUUAGCUGGAUCGGAAAGGCCUCCGAGGUCAACGACUGGAAUGGUGAAUUGGUUUUCUUCUAUUUCAGAGGUAUUGAUGAUAUUGUACUGAUCUGGUGGAUGAUGAAAAAUUCGAGGAAUCUCGGUUAUGCCAGCAUCAACAAGGCCUUUGACACCCUCCUUUGUGUCAUCAAAAGCUUGUAGUUCACUUUUCCUGUCAUAAGUGGUUGCUGCAAUAUCCUUUGUGUUGGCUACCAUCUUGGUCAGUGGCAAGGUAAGAUGGUAGAUUUUUCAGAUCAGAUCUACAAAUCAGAAAUAUUCAUGCAUAAGAGACCACCAGAUAAGAUCAUUUAUAGUUUUAUACAAUUAUACAAAUCACAAGUAGCCAAAUAACCUCUCUUUUUUUUUCCAAAGUUUGAUGCUGGAUUUAUUUAUCAUUGUGGCGGCCAAAUGAUAGUGUUAGACCACAUAUCUAUAAGAUAGGCAGCCACUUAUUUUGAAUAUUUCUAGAAACAAAACAAGAAUGAUGAAAACAGCUGAUCAUACAUUUCACUGGAGAAUGAACUUCAGCUCAAUCCCAAAUAGUUUCGUUAGUAUAGAAUCAUGAGAAGUAAUGUUCCCUUGACUCCAAGUUCAGAACUUAAAAUGAUUGUCAACUGUCCACAAGGCCUUGGUUCCCUGUACUUUGGAGGCUAGGAUUUUCUUCUAAUGAAUCUAAUCAUAUAUUAUUGAUUUAAUUGUCCAUAUAUUUUUGCUAAUGUUUGAUUAAUAAAUUAAUUACCAAUAGGUCACAGCUCACCGGCAUGAAAACUACUUUUAACUGAUACCAUUUGUAAUGAUUUUGCAGAUGAAUUUGAUGCCUUAAUUAUGUAGCUGUUAUUGCUUAAGUUGAAUCUUACCAAAGACAAACCAAUAUAUAACAGCUGAGUUUACAUUUGUUGGACAUGUAUCUUCACCGUAGUGCUUAAAAGUUUUAUUUGCAUUUUCUACACAAAAGAAAUCUUGGCCAAACAUAGCAUGGAUUUCACUGCAUUAAUACUCCUCUUAGUCUCCAAGUUCAAAGCUCAAAAUGAGGCAACGCAGAGGUACCAUCGAGGCCUUUUUGAUUGAAGUAGGCAAAAUAGUCCCUAACAGUUGUCUCCCGUACUUUGGAGGAUUGUCUGCUGAUAAUAACUCCUUGAUCGGUCCAUAGAGUUUUGUUAAUGGCAGCAAUCCUGUGCAGAAAAAGCUUGCAACCGAUACUCGUGGACCUCUACGGUUUGCCAGUACUGUGUUCAACACUCUUGAAUCUGUCAUUGGAUAUAAGCUGAAACCACCAAAAGAAUUCUAUUCAGUAAAAAUAGAAAAUAUGUAACUGAAUCAAACUAAGAAUUUGAAACACCUCAACAAAAGCAUUCUAGAGAUACUCAAACGCAAUAACUAAGAAUGUACAUGUUUAGAAUCAUGAUGUAGCAGUAUCUUUCCAUGUUUUGGCCUAUAUUUGAUCCAUGUAGUUUGGGGAGUAUCUUUCUCUUUGGAACAGUCAUUACAAAUUCAUCAAAUUAAUUCCUGUAAUACUUAACAGUUGCAAUUAAGGUUAAAUCAGGUUUUGCCAAAUCAAUUCUGGGAAGGACUAUUUUGGUCCGGUAUGCUCAGCAGAAUUAGCCCUUCGCGUGCAUGUCAUUUGAGGAAAAUCAAAAUCAGUUUGGCCUUGAUGAAACCGUUAGCUGAGUACAGUUGACAGAAAGAAAAAAAAUUGAUCAAACAUUUCUGAAUAUUCAAGAAGAAUGAUGCUUAGACUUGCCUGCAGAAGAUCUCCAACAUUAACCACAAGAGCACCGGGCACAGGAGGUACAUCAAACCACUUGUUCUGGUGAAGGACUUGAAGGCCACCAAUAUGGUCUUGCAGAAGAACAGUAAGGAAGGCAUUAUCAGCAUGUUUGGUUGCGCCUAGAGUCAGUUCUGGCUGUGGACAAGGGGGAUAGUAAUGGCCUGCUAGCAGAAGCCCCUCGCUACAAUCUAUGUCAUUCAAGUGACUUGGCUUCAAUCCAAGAGCUUCAGACAACAACUCGAACAAUAGCUUACCCACCUUCAUUACUUGAUCUGAGUACUCUACAAGUAUGUCUCUACAAAGUGGAACAACAGAAACGCACAUGAAACGUACGUAUUGAUUCUAUGGUUGUUCAUGACAGAAAAUAAAAAGAAGUGUAUUAGAAAAUAUGGGAAACACUACUGUCAUGAAUUUACUAAUUUCAGAAAAUUACAGCAUAGAGUAUAUUGAAGAGCCCUUGUCACAUACCUGCAUACUUCUGGGAAGUCUUCUGGUUUAGUAGGAAUUGGAGCCAUGUAACAACUAAAAGUAUCUCUCCAAUUAGUCGCCGGUGCACUAUAUAGAUCAAAGUUGCUAUUGUAGAGCACAGGAUUCUUGAAAUGAUCGCGACUAUAAAGCUUCUUCUUCACCUCAGUGUCCUGCUCAAAAAACCGACGUACCCCAUUUUUUACCUCCUCAAGAACAUCAACAGGUAUUCCAUGGUUGACUAUCUGAAAGAAAGCCCCAAGUCUCUGAUGCCUCUCCAACUUUUGCAACAAUCUCCUUUUGUUUAGUUAAAUCCAAAAGGCCUUC